GUUCGAUUCCCCUGUGGCGCGACCUUUAAAUUUCUUUAUUUAAUACUAUUAAUUUACCAAAAUAAAUAAAUAAAUGAAAGCUCAUGUGUUAAAAAAAAUGUAUAUGAAAAUAAUAAAUAUGAGUUGGAUGGACGUCUUCCAAUAUUAGUCGAGCAAAGUUUGGACAAUUUGGAGAAAAGAAAUAGACCACAUGACAUGAAUACUAU
rnacentral:lncRNA from 1 species